rnacentral:rRNA from 1 species
UACGACGGGGGCUAGCGUUGCUCGGAAUCACUGGGCGUAAAGCGCACGUAGGCGGCUUCUUAAGUCGGGGGUGAAAUCCUGGAGCUCAACUCCAGAACUGCCUUCGAUACUGAGGAGCUUGAGUCCUGGAGAGGUGAGUGGAACUGCGAGUGUAGAGGUGAAAUUCGUAGAUAUUCGCAAGAACACCAGUGGCGAAGGCGGCUCACUGGCCCGGUACUGACGCUGAGGUGCGAAAGCGUGGGGAGCAAACAGG